rnacentral:rRNA from 1 species
AUGCAUAGGAAUCUACCUAGUAGUAUGGGAUAGCCACUAGAAAUGGUGGGUAAUACUGUAUAAUCCCUGCGGGGGAAAGAUUUAUCGCUAUUAGAUGAGCCUAUGUCAGAUUAGCUAGUUGGUGGGGUAAUGGCCUACCAAGGCGGUGAUCUGUAGCUGGUCUGAGAGGAUGAUCAGCCACACUGGAACUGAGACACGGUCCAGACUCCUACGGGAGGCAGCAGUGGGGAAUAUUGGACAAUGGGCGCAAGCCUGAUCCAGCUAUGCCGCGUGAGUGAGGAAGGCCUUAGGGUUGUAAAACUCUUUC